rnacentral:lncRNA from 1 species
AUGACCGUCGACAAAAGAAUUGGGCUGCAGGUUAGAUGGCUGCUUUUUGGGCUUACUCUUAGUAAAUUUUUUGGCCUGGGCUUAAUCUUACUAAAUUUUUUGGCCUGGGCUUAAUCUUAGUAAUUGUUUUGGUCUGGGCUUAAUCUGAAUAUGGGUUGCGGAUUUUAGAAGCUUUCCGAGGCUGUCUUAUUAAUGGGCUCCAAAAGGAGACCCAUGUGUAACUUAUUAAUGGGCUUCAUAGAACUUUGGUAUUCAUUCUAAUUAUUUCUCUUAUUAAUGAGCUCUAAAUAAUUUAGAAGGUUCUUUUUCAUUGGGCCAGCAGUGUCUAUCCCAAUGAAAAAAAUGACAUUUUAUUACGUAUCAGUAGUAUUAUGUUCGAACUUCUAUAACACCUCUAUAAUGUGUGUAAGAAAAUCUCUCUCACACUUCGUAACUUUGGCCAAAAGAAAAAAAACAAUUAAUUACAACAAAGAAAAACGAUUUAGGAUAAGUUGAAACUUCGAAGAAAAAAUUAUGGGUUCGUACUUAGGCCUAAUAUUUAAUUGAAAUAAGUUGUUGGAGAAGAGUAUGGUGCAAUUAAAGAGACCAAAUUUUAUCGUCAAAUGUGUUAUUAUGUUACGUUAUUCAUCCAAAUUUGGGCCUACCAAAAUUCUAUGAAAACACUCCACGUCAUCAACGUCCAAAAGCAAACCGUCUUUCUUGUUUAGAGGAAAAGAGGAAAAUAACAGAUACCCUUUUAUUUUGCUUUCUAUUAUCCAACCCAUUAAAAAGGCAAAAAUUCGAAUCCCAUAUACCCAUAUGCAUUCAUUUUGCUUUCCUUUUAAGCGAACGAUACCCAUUAGCGUCAAAGCGUUUCCAUUCUCCAUCGCCGAUAAGGACGUCGAAAGCCCUACUCCCCCCACAUUUAUCAGAACCCAGAUAAAAACCCAUCUCCCAAAUCCCAAGAUCUCAAACAGCGAACCCUUUUUCUGGGUCUGAAAUUCCAGGGAAAAAGAGAUUCGAAGCACUCAAAGUGAAGCAAAGAUGUGCUGCUGUCCAAGCAGAGUUUGCAUGCUGUGCACUUGUUUGAUACUGGUGGUGGUUUUGGUGGGGCUUUUGUUUGGGUUUGGAGUGUUCAAGAAUGGCUUCCACAAGAUCAAAGAUACUGUGAAUUUCUGUGAUCCGAAUGUUCAUGGAUCUUAUUGUGGGUCUACUGGAAGACCCUUCUUGGGUUACACUGCACCUGCACCUUUCUAG